rnacentral:rRNA from 1 species
GACGAACGCUGGCGGCGUGCUUAACACAUGCAAGUCGAACGGUGAAGCGCUUGCCUUUUUGGUGGGUGUGGAUGAGUGGCGAACGGGUGAGUAACACGUGAGUAACCUGCCCUCUUCUUCUGGAUAACCUCAUGAAAGUGGGGCUAAUACGGGGUAUUCCGGGUCUGUCGCAUGGCGGGUUUGGGAAAGAUUGCGCCUUUGGGUGUUUUCGGUGGGGGAUGGGCUCGCGGCCUAUCAGCUUGUUGGUGGGGUGAUGGCCUACCAAGGCGGUGACGGGUAGCCGGCCUGAGAGGGUGGACGGCCACACUGGGACUGAGACACGGCCCAGACUCCUGCGGGAGGCAGCAGUGGGGAAGAUUGCACAAUGGGCGCAAGCCUGAUGCAGCGACGCCGCGUGAGGGAUGGAGGCCUUCGGGUUGUGAACCUCUUUCGCCAGUGAAGCAGGCCUGCUCCUGUGUGGGUGGGUUGACGGUAGCUGGAUAAGAAGCGCCGGCUAACUACGU